CUGGGGACUUAAAGUACUAUAAAUACUUGGUGUGCAAUGGCUGCAACCAGCACCCUCCUUGUUAGUGUGUGCAACCUGUUGCUUGUAUGGGUUGCUCUAAGGGACCUUGGAGAGAGUC
rnacentral:snoRNA from 1 species